UUUCAUGAUGAUCUUUCUUUGCUUCGGCAAGUUGGAAUUACCGACUGAUUCCCCUUGAAGAAAACAAUUGGCUGUUUCUGAUU
rnacentral:snoRNA from 1 species